GUGGGGAAUAUUGGACAAUGGGCGCAAGCCUGAUCCAGCCAUGCCGCGUGCAGGAAGACGCAUCUAUGGUGUGUAAACUGCUUUUGUACGGGAAGAAACACUCCCUCGUGAGGGAGCUUGACGGUACCGUAAGAAUAAGGAUCGGCUAACUCCGUGCCAGCAGCCGCGGUAAUACGGAGGAUCCAAGCGUUAUCCGGAAUCAUUGGGUUUAAAGGGUCCGUAGGCGGAUUAAUAAGUCAGUGGUGAAAGCCCAUCGCUCAACGAUGGAACGGCGAUUGAUACUGUUAGGCUUGAAUUACGAGGAAGUAACUAGAAUAUGUAGUGUAGCGGUGAAAUGCUUAGAUAUUACAUGGAAUACCAAUUGCGAAGGCAGGUUACUACUUGUGGAUUGACGCUGAUGGGCGAAAGCGUGGGGAGCGAACAGGAUUAGAAACCCGGGUAGUCC
rnacentral:rRNA from 1 species